UUCUUUUAUCUGUCUUGAUUCUUAUAUUAGCAACUAUCACUGUUUAAUAUCUGAUACGUCUCUAUCUGAGGACUAUAUAUUAAAUGGAUUUUGGAACAGGGAGAUGGAAUAGGAGCUUGCUCCAUCCACUCCACGCAUCGACCUGGUAUUGCAGUACCUCCAGGAACGGAAAAAAACUA
rnacentral:snRNA from 1 species